AAUCCUAAGGGGUACUAGGCUAAAAUUCAAAGAGACAAAAGAGACUUUAAAGAAACUGCGGGAGUUGAAUUUACAAAAUAUUUCAUUCACUUCAACAACUUUAUAUUAACUGUUUCCGUUCAUAUUUUUUUCUCCUUUCUCUUUUUUCUUCUUCUUUUUUUCUUUUUCAUAAGGAGUGUGUAUUGACAUGUAUACAUCCUUCUAUUUUGUCUCAUUUAUUUUUUUUCUUUUCUAUUUUUCUUUUCUUUUUCUACCAACUUCUGAAAUAUUGCAAACAUGAUUAUUCAACUCCACACAACUCCAAACAAGACUCUUUCAAC
rnacentral:lncRNA from 1 species